rnacentral:lncRNA from 1 species
AAAAAAAAAAAAAAAAAAAUUACAUGGACAUUUUAGAUUUACAAGGAACUAAGUAGUAGGUGCUCAUGUAAUAACAUUGACAAAGAAACGUUUCUUCAGUUUUUUCCACUACCUGGAUUAUGGGGGGAACGGUUAUUUUUAAAAUUCAAUUUAAAAAAUUCUGGUUUUAUAGAUUUUGAAGAGUUCAUAAUAGGAAUAGCAAUAUGUUGUAGGGGAACAAAGGGUGAUAAAAUAAACGUGUUGUUCGAUUUAUUUGAUUUAAAUUCAGAUGGGUAUAUACAAAAAUCAGAGAUUAUAGCUAUGUUGUCAAGUAUUCCUUAUAUACAUAAGUUGAAAAAAACAUUUUUUAACAAAAAUAAUAGAAAAACAUAUGAACAUGAUUAUAUUUAUGGUAAUACUAAUGAAGGUUUGGAUUAUGAAUUAAACACAUGUACAAACGUAUGCGCAAAUGGCGAAAUAAAAAUGAGUGAUGAUAGGCAUGAUGCUAUACAAACAGGUUCAAAUGAAGGGAAAAAUGAAGAACCAAGUGGGCCCUAUUCGAGUGUAGACGUAAAACCUGUGAACACUACUACUACUACUACUACUACUACUAAUAAUAAUUAUAAUAAUAAUAAUAAUAAUAGUAUAAAUAAAAAUGGCAUUCAUGGAAAUGAAGAUAGCUAUAAUAACAAUAGUAAUGAUAAUGGUAAUGGUAAUGAAAAUGAAAAUGAAAAUGACAAUGAAAAUGACAAUGAAAAUGAAAAUGAAAAUGAAAAUGACAAUGAUAAUGAAAAUAACAAUAAGAAUGACAGUAAAAAUGACAGUAAAAAUGAGAGUGACAGUGAAAAUGAUGAAUAUAUAUGUAAUGAUAAAUGUGCUUAUUGUGGUAACUGUGUGGGUGAAUACGAAUAUGAAAAUAUAAUUUCUGACAACUACGAUGAUGAUGAUGAUCAUGAUGAUUCUUAUAAUGACAUAGAGGACUACGGUGCAGGUGAAGGCGGAAGCAGUAACAGUAGUAGUAGCAGUUAUAGCAUACGUAGUAACAUUAGUAUUGGUAGACCUAAUAGUGGCAUAACAAAUAAUGAUGAAAUUAACUAUAGUAGUGAUAUUAACAAGAAUAAUAACAUUAACAAUAAAAAUUAUCUUCAUAGUAAAUCUAGCAAUAGUGCUAAGUAUGAACUUAAUUAUAGUACAAGUUGUAGUAGAUGUAUGAAAAAAAAAAAAAAAAAUGCAUUUUAUGGUAAAAAUUUUAUUAAUUUGGAUGUAAUAGCAAAAAAAAUAAGAAGAGAAAAAAAAAAACAACUAGCAAAGUGUUUUGAAGAGUUUAUAAAGGAACAACGUGGAUAUAAAAACAACAGAGGUUUUGAUUAUCAAAAAAGAAAAAGAAAACAUAGAACAAAUGAAAAGAUCGAUUAUACAUAUGAUGACACCCCUCAGGUUCAAAAUGGACAAAAUGGACAAAAUGGA